UACGUAGGGGGGCGAGCGUUGUCCGGAAUCACUGGGCGUAAAGCGCACGUAGGCGGCUUGUUAAGUCAGGGGUGAAAUCCUGGAGCUCAACUCCAGAACUGCCUUUGAUACUGUCGGGCUCGAGUCCGGUAGGGGAGUGUGGAAUUCCCGGUGUAGCGGUGAAAUGCGCAGAGAGUCGGGAGGAACACCAAUGGCGAAGGCAGCACUCUGGGACGUGACUGACGCUGAGACGCGAAAGCGUGGGGAGCAAACAGG
rnacentral:rRNA from 1 species